GAGAAGUAAAAGCCUUUGCAAGGAGAUAAUUAAAGAUAUCUCUUAGGAAGGUCUGAGACGAAGACUCCAAUUUUAGGAUUGGAAGUAACGAAAUGUUAUGGUUUAGAGACCACUAUUCACUUUAAUAGAAAUGUAGCAUUUACUUUCAGAAUAACUUGAUAAUUUAAUUAUCAAAGAAUAUUUAAGUAAGUGCAUGGAAAUGGGUGAAUGUCUUCAUAAAUAAUAGUGGAAUGCAAAGGGAUGUUGUUUUAACAUUAACUCAAUUCAGACUACUCUUUACAUCUC
rnacentral:RNase_P_RNA from 1 species